rnacentral:lncRNA from 1 species
AGUAACCGUGUCUUUAAUUAGCCAUACCCCAGAGGCCCGGAGGGGGCUGGUCAAUGGUGGGCUCCCAGCCAAGAUCCGUGCUGUGCUGCUGGCAUUCAGUCUAGGAAGACUUGGUGGGAUGUUUUAUUUGACUCGUUCCCCCAACUUGCCCCGUCAGCCUGCCCACCGUUCCGCCAUCAUUUCUGCCUGAUGGGCUGCUCAGGGUCGACAGAGGGGAAGAAGGGAGGAGAAAAGCUGAACUUUUCUGAGCAUCUCUCCUGUGCAGGCUCUGGGCCACACCCCGGGAACAGCCAAGCAGAAGAUUCGAGAUGCAUGGGAUGGAACCCCAGGGGAAGGGUAGUCCGUGCCGGGCAGUCCCAGAGCGGUAUCCAAGAAAGAGAGUCCUAGUGACCCAAAGAUACUUCCAAGAAAUACCAAGCAAAGAACCUAGAAGGGAAGAAAGAAAAAGUUUCCUUCCCCUCCAGUUUUGGUGCCCAGUUGGGGGCACUUCACGGCCUGGGCACGGCUUGUUCUGCUGCUGUGGCCACUGAGAAGUCCCAGGACUCCAGAUGAGAGCAGGCAGAAGCCUCCAGGCCUAGCAUGGAACCCAUCCUGGGGCUUGAAUUCAAGACCCUAAGAUCAAGACCUGAGCUGAGAUCAAGAGUCAGAUGCUUCACUGACUGAGCCACCCAGGUGCCUCCUGGCUCUUUUGUGUUUUAAGGUCAACACCAUUGACCUCCCCAGUGGAAAUUCUUUUUCCCACCUCUGUACUUUCCUACCACUUCAUCUUGGCACUGUUCAAGCACAUACCCACUUCUCUUAUAUUCUAAUAAAGGGUCUGUAAGAAGGACUAACACUUACAAAGC